rnacentral:rRNA from 1 species
UACGUAGGGGGCAAGCGUUGUUCGGAAUUACUGGGCGUAAAGGGCGCGUAGGCGGCAUGGCAAGUCAGGAGUGAAAGGCCUGGGCUCAACCUAGGAACUGCUUUUGAAACUGCCAAGCUAGAGUGCGGAAGGGGCAACUGGAAUUCCCAGUGUAGCGGUGAAAUGCGUAGAUAUUGGGAAGAACACCUGAGGCGAAGGCGGGUUGCUGGGCCGACACUGACGCUGAUGCGCGAAAGCCAGGGGAGCGAACGGG